rnacentral:rRNA from 1 species
GACGAACGCUGGCGGCGUGCUUAACACAUGCAAGUCGAACGGAAAGGCCCUGCUUUUGUGGGGUGCUUGAGUGGCGAACGGGUGAGUAACACGUGAGUAACCUGCCCUUGACUUUGGGAUAACUUCAGGAAACUGGGGCUAAUACCGGAUAGGAGCUCCUGCUGCAUGGUGGGGGUUGGAAAGUUUCGGCGGUUGGGGGUGGACUCGCGGCUUAUCAGCUUGUUGGUGGGGUAGUGGCUUACCAAGGCUUUGACGGGUAGCCGGCCUGAGAGGGUGACCGGCCACAUUGGGACUGAGAUACGGCCCAGACUCCUACGGGAGGCAGCAGUGGGGAAUAUUGCACAAUGGGCGGAAGCCUGAUGCAGCAACGCCGCGUGCGGGAUGACGGCCUUCGGGUUGUAAACCGCUUUCGCCUGUGACGAAGCGUGAGUGACGGUAAUGGGUAAAGAAGCACCGGCUAACUACGUG